rnacentral:rRNA from 1 species
CCUACGGGUGGCAGCAGUCGAGAAUCAUUCACAAUGGGGGAAACCCUGAUGGUGCGACGCCGCGUGGGGGAAUGAAGGUCUUCGGAUUGUAAACCCCUGUCAUGUGGGAGCAAAUUAAAAAGAUAGUACCCCAAGAGGAAGAGACGGCUAACUCUGUGCCAGCAGCCGCGGUAAUACAGAGGUCUCAAGCGUUGUUCGGAAUCACUGGGCGUAAAGCGUGCGUAGGCUGUUUCGUAAGUCGGGUGUGAAAGGCGCGGGCUCAACCCGCGGACGGCACAUGAUACUGCGAGACUAGAGUAAUGGAGGGGGAACCGGAAUUCUCGGUGUAGCAGUGAAAUGCGUAGAUAUCGAGAGGAACACUCGUGGCGAAGGCGGGUUCCUGGACAUUAACUGACGCUGAGGCACGAAGGCCAGGGGAGCGAAAGGGAUUAGAUACCCGAGUAGUC